UCUCACUUCUCACAACUCUCUCUCCUCACUGCUCUCCACUCUCUCAUUAUCUCACUCUUCAUUCGACCCUCUCUCUCCUUGAUCACUACCCUGUUGCUGCAUUUUCUCGCACCUCGCGCCACCACCUCGCACCGACACUACCACUUUGCUGCCUCCGGCCACCUCGCUGCCUCACGAGAAGGCCACCACCAGGCUGAUGUUGUCCAAUCAUCGCGCCACCAUCAAUUUCUCAAGUAUACAUGUAAACCCCAUUGUCUGAUUUCUCUUCAGUUAGGAUUUGUUAGGCUUUAAUCAUUAAAUUGAAAUGAUUUUGAUAUAAUUGCUUUGAAAAUAGUCUAAAAAUUGCUUUAAGAAUUAGGAGUUAAAAAUGGGUCUGAAAAUUGCUUUGAAUUGGCUACUGAAAAUGAGUCUAAUUUUUUUUUUGAAUUGGGUCUGAAAAUUGCUUUAAAUUGGCUACUGACAAUUAGGAAUUGAGGUGGUCACUGAAAAUUUGCUACUAAAAAUAUUCAGGUCACUGCCUUUGUGAAUUAACUGUAUAAUUUUG
rnacentral:lncRNA from 1 species